GAUCCGUGGCUCGAGGACGAACGGCUGGCGGCGUGCCUAAUACAUGCAAGUCGAACGGUCUUUCUAUGGAAGCUUGCUUCCACUGAGAAGAUAGUGGCGAACGGGUGAGUAACACGUGGGUAACCUGCCCAUAAGAGGGGGAUAACAUCCGGAAACGGGUGCUAAUACCGCAUAGUUUUCUUGAUCGCAUGAUCGGGAAGGAAAGACGGCCUUUGUGCUGUCGCUUAUGGAUGGACCCGCGGCGUAUUAGUUAGUUGGUGAGGUAACGGCUCACCAAGACGAUGAUACGUAGCCGACCUGAGAGGGUGAUCGGCCACAUUGGGACUGAGACACGGCCCAAACUCCUACGGGAGGCAGCAGUAGGGAAUCUUCCGCAAUGGACGAAAGUCUGACGGAAGCAACGCCGCGUGAGUGAUGACGGCCUUCGGGUUGUAAAGCUCUGUCUUCAGGGACGAUAAUGACGGUACCUGAGGAGGAAGCCACGGCUAACUACGUGCCAGCAGCCGC
rnacentral:rRNA from 1 species